ensembl:snRNA U6 U6 spliceosomal RNA
GUGUUGGCUUCAGCACCACAUGCACUAAAACUGGAACGAUACAGAGGUUAGCACGGCCUCUGCGCAAGGAUGACACGCAGGUGUGUGAAGCAGUCCAUAUCUUU